rnacentral:rRNA from 1 species
CGUGGGAAACCUGCCCAGAAGCGGGGGAUAACACCUGGAAACAGAUGCUAAUACCGCAUAACAACUUGGACCGCAUGGUCCGAGUUUGAAAGAUGGCUUCGGCUAUCACUUUUGGAUGGUCCCGCGGCGUAUUAGCUAGAUGGUGAGGUAACGGCUCACCAUGGCAAUGAUACGUAGCCGACCUGAGAGGGUAAUCGGCCACAUUGGGACUGAGACACGGCCCAAACUCCUACGGGAGGCAGCAGUAGGGAAUCUUCCACAAUGGACGAAAGUCUGAUGGAGCAACGCCGCGUGAGUGAAGAAGGUUUUCGGAUCGUAAAACUCUGUUGUUAGAGAAGAACAAGUAGGAGAGUAACUGCUCUUACCUUGACGGUAUCUAACCAGAAAGCCACGGCUAACUACGUGC